AAAUAGCCACAGGGUGGAAGGGGAAACCGAGGAAGUGACUUGCACAGUGUCACGUAGCAGCUCAGUGGCGGAGGCGGGAACAGCACCAUCAGGCUGGGGGAUGUUCGCAUGGGGGGGAGCUGAAUGGAGAGGGGAGAAGGUUAAUGGUGGGAUCUCUCUCCCCAGGACCUGCAGAACGCGGCGGUCUUGAUAUUUGCCAACAAGCAGGAUGUAAAGAACUCCAUGACUACCUCUGAGAUCUCCAAGUUCCUAACCCUCAGCUCCAUCAAGGACCACCCAUGGCACAUCCAGGGCUGCUGCGCCCUCACGGGAGAGGGCCUGCCAGCUGGCUUGGAGUGGAUGAAGUCUCGAGUAGCAGCCAACUGACACGUCUGGCCAGACAUAUGACGGAACAGUGCAAAGCUCUCAAGCAUCUUAUUUAUUUUUUUAUACAUGUGAGUUUCAGCCUGGACUUUCCUUCUAAAGCAGCUGAAGCUGGGAUUUUGUACGGACAGUGUAUUUCCGAGCCCGGGUCAGCGUGGGAGCUGGUCCCUCCUGGAUUGCAUGUCCGGAAGAAAUCUGGAUCAUAUCUGCUGGGUGGUGGGUCCGUUCUGGAUCGUGUCUCUGAGGGGAAUCGGUUCUGGGUCAUCUCUCUUCUGGAUCACAUCCGCAGAGAGGGAAACCAAUAGGAAGAAAUCUCUGCUCCAGGCCUGCACUUAAGUAAAAGCUGGAACAAAGAAGCCUGGAGCAUGGAAAUUUUACGCACACGCAGGCCCAGUGCAGCUUCCAGCAGAUUUACCAAUAAGCUAUGAAAGAAGAACCUCACCCUCCGGAGUCCGGUUAACAGGAAAUGCCUUAGGUCUUCAGAUGGGGAUUGGGGAUAAACUUUGCUAGAGGGCUGGGGAGGGGGGUAAUAACCUUUAAACCCCGGUGCCCCUCUGCGCUGCCCAUGCUCUUCUCCAAACUCGGGUGGUGUUCGGGGUGAGGAUCUGAAACCUUCGGGACACUGACGUUUCCCAGGAUUUGCUCUGCGAUCAUCCCUGGGUUGCUCAGCGACGCAUCGACCAGCGCGCACUGGAUGUUUCCUACCAUUGGUGCUUUCCCUUGGCCCGUCUGAUCGAGGCCUUGACCAUCUUGUAUUUUAUAUGUUUUAACGCAAGCAGGAAAGGGCCGGCUCCAUGGCUCUAUUCCUGAGUAUUUCUCUCUUCUGCCACGGCCCCGGAGCAAGGACACAGAUCUGGAUUCAGACCCCUCCUCCAGCACCGUUGGAGGGCAGGGAUUCAGUGAGGGUGGGGAAAUACGCAUGGGUGGGAAGAGCUGCCCCGGGGAGCAAAUUUCCCCCUUCACGACGGUUCAUUCCCACCUCUUCCACCAGGAGGCGCUAACGGGUCAGGCCCAGCAGGGCCAGAUCCAAUGCUGCUCGAUCUGUGUGGGACCUGGCAUCAGGACCAAAUCCAAACCCUGGAUCCGGACUCAGGGAUGUUUGGGUCUGACCUAUCCAGCCCGUGUCCCAUUUCUACUGAAGAUCGAGUCUCACUCCGGAGGCAGCAGGAGCUGACGGUCAGGGAGACCCGCCUGGGUUCUGCUCUUGCAGACUUGCGGGGAAAGACUUAGCUCUUCUGUACCUCAGUUUACCCUGUUGGCAAGUGCCUGCCUUUGUAGAGUGACCUGGAAUCCCUGGAUGUGAAG
rnacentral:lncRNA from 1 species